GCUGUGUUCUCAUUUCACCCAAGACCUUUGGCUAGAUCAGAACAUAAAAAAUUCAUUUCAAAAAGUGAUACUGAGAAGAUAUGAGAAAUCUAGACAUGAGAAUUUACAAAUAAGAAAAGGCUGUAAAAGUUUGAAUGCAUCUAAGUUGCAGGAAGGAGGUUAUAAUGGACUUAACCAAUGUUUGUCGGUUACUCAGAGCAAAAUACUUCAAUGUAAUACAUGUGUGAAAGUCUUUAGGAAAUUUUCAAAUUCAAAUAGACUUAGGAGAAGACAUACUGGAGAGAAACCUUUCAAAUGUAAAGAAUGUGGCCAAUUCUUUCACAGGUUCUCACACCUAAGACAACAUGAGAUAAUUCAUACUGAAGAGAAACCCUACCAACAUGAAGAAUGUGGCAAAGAUUUUAAGCAGUCUUCAGGUCUUACUAUACAUGAGAGAAUUCAUACUAAAGAGAGACCCUACAAGUGUGAAGAAUGUGACAAAGCCUUUAAACAAUCUUCAAAACUGAAUAAACAUAAGAAAAUUUAUACUGGAGAUACAACCUACAAAUGUGAAGAAUGUGGCAAAGCCUUUUCCUAUUCCUCAACCGUUACUCAACAUAACAUAGUUCAUACUGAAGACAAACCCUACAAAUGUGAAGACUGUGGCAAAGCUUUGAAGUAGUCUUCAAACCUGACUAUGCGUAAGAUUAUUCAUAUGGGAGAGAAACCCUACAAAUGUGAUGAAUGUGGCAAAGCCUUUAGAAUAUCCUCAAAACUGAAAGAACAUAAAAGAAUUCAUACUUGAGAGAAACCCUAUAAAUAUGAAGAAUGUGGCAAAGCUUUUUACUGUUCCUCAGGCCUUACUCAACAUAACAUAGUUCAUACUGGAGACAAACCCUACAAAUAUAAAGAUUGUGGCAAAAUUUUUAAGUGGUUUUCAGACCUUACUAUACAUCAGAGAAUUCAUAGUGGAGAGAAACCCUAGAAAUGUGAAGAAUGUGGCAAAGCCUUUAAACAAUCCUCAAAACUGAAUGAACAUAUGAGAACUCAUACUGGAGAGAAAUCCUACAAAUGCGAAGAAUGUAGCAAAGCUUUUAAGCAACCUUCAGGCCUUACUCUACAUAAGAGAAUUCAUACUGGAGAGAACCCUUACAAAUUCGAAGAAUGUGGUAAAGCCUUUUAUUGGUUGUUAAGCUUUACUAAACAUAAUUGAUAGGGGAGAGAAACCCUACAAAUGUCAAGAAUGUGGCAAAGCUUUUAAGUGGUCUUCAAACCUUACUAUACACAAGAGAAUUCAUACGGGAGAGAAACCCUGCAAAUGUGAAGAAUGUGGCAAAGCUUGUAAGCAGUCUUUGGGCCUUACUAUACAAAAGAGAAUUCAUAAUGAAGAGAAACCCUACAAAUGUGAAGAAUGUGAUAAAGCCUUUUACUGGUCCUUAAGCUUUACUAAACGUAAGAUAGUUCAUACUGGAGAGAAGCACUACAAAUGUCAAGAAUACGUCAAAGCUUUUAAGCGUCUUCAAACCUUACUAUACAUAAGAGAAUUCAUACUGGAGAGAAACCCUACAAUUGUGAAAAAUGUGGCAAAGCCUUUUACUGUUCCUCACACCUUAUUCAACAUAACAUAGUUCAUACUGAAGAGAAACACUACAAAUGUCAAGAAUGUGGCAAAGCUUUUAAGAAGUCUUUAGACCUUAAUGUACAUAAGAUAAUUCAUAGUGGAGAGAAACCCUACAGAUAUGAAGAAUGUGGCAGUCUUUAAACAAUCCUCAAACCUGAAUGAACGUAAGAUAACUCAUAGUGGAGAGGAAUCCUACAAAUGUGAAGAAUGUGGCAAAGGCUUUAAACAAUCCUCAAACCUGAAUGAACAUAAGAUAACUCAUAGUGGAGAGGAAUCUUACAAAUGUGAAGAAUGUGGCAAAGGCUUUUACUGUUCCUCAAGCCUUACUAAGCAUAAGAUAGUUCAUACUGAAGAGAAACCAUACAAAUGUGAAGAAUGUGGCAAAGCUUUUAAGUGGUCCUCUGAACUUACUAUACAUCAGAGAAUUCAUACUGAAGAGAAACCCUGUAAAUGUGAAGAAUGUAUCAGAGUCUUUAAACACUCCUCAAAACCGAAUGAACAUAAGAGAAAUCAUACUGGAGAGAAACCCUACAAAUGUGAAGCAUGCGGCAAAGCUUUUUAAGCAGUCUUCAGGCCUUACUAUACAUAAGAGAAUUCAUACUGGAGAGGAAUCCAGAAAUGUGAAGAAUGUUGCAAAACCUUUUACUGGUCUUUAAGCUUUACUAAACAUAAGAGAGUUCAUAUUGGAGAGAUACCCUACAAAUGUCAAGAAUGUGGCAAAACUUUUUCUUGUUCCUCAAGUUUACUCAACAUAAGAGAGUUCAUACUGAAGAGAAAUCCCACAAAUGUAAAGAAUGUGGGAAAGCCUUUAACCAGUCCUUAAGCCUUACUAAACUUAUGAGAAUUCAUACUGGAAAAAAAUCAUACAAAUUGGAAGACUGUGGCAAAAUCUUUUAAGUAUUGCUCAAAUAUAUCCAGCCAUAAUUCAUACUAAAGAUUAUGCCUAUGAACCUAAGGAAGUUUGGCAAAGCUUAUGAAUACACCUCAAACUUUCCUAAGCCUUGGAGAAAUAUCAGUGAGAAACCUCAGAAAACUGAACAAUGUGGCAAGCCCUUUAAAUGGUUGUCACAUCUUACUGUAGGUAAAAUAAUUGAUAGUGGAGAAAAUCUCUACAAACAAAGAAUGUGUCAAAACUUCUAACAUGCUCAUACUUUAUGGCACAUAAAAGCGUUUAUACUUGAAAAAUUAUACAGAGUGUGGAAAAGCCAUUUCUAUCUGCUCACAUCAUAGUCAACAUCAGGAAGUUCAUACUUAAUAAAAUUAUUAUAAAUGUAAUUACUGUUCAAAGACCUUGGAAAAUAUAAACCCUUAAAAUAAAAAAGAGUAUUCUGGAGACAAACAUUACAAAUAUAAAGAGGGUUGUAAUACCUUUACUUGCCCUAUAUAAUGUACAGAUUUUACACUAGAAGAAAACUCUAAAGGAAUUACUCAAACUUGUUUGGCAUCAGAGAAUUUAUGUUGAAGGAAACCGUACAAAUGUAAUAAGUGUGGAAAAACAUUUGUUCAGAAACUACAGCUUACAAAACACCACACAGUUUAUAAUAAAAAAUAUUUUUGCAGAUGGAAUACAUAUGUAAAAAUAUUUAGUCAAAAUUAAGUCUUUGUAAACUUUAGAAAAUUCACGGUAGGGAGAACUAAGGCACUGGCACUUAAGACGUUACACUAAAUCAGAAUGUUCUGUAAAGAAAGUAAUCCAAAGCUAAAACUGUUGGAUAAUUUAUUUGUAUAUAAGUUUAAGAGGAGUGGAAGGUUAUUUUUUGGAGAGUUAAAAUUACAUUCAAGGUAUACGUUUUUCCUUGAAAAAAGUGUAAGUUUUUUGAAAAGCAAGUAGGUAAUUCAACUGUAAAAUUGCUUCAUGCUGUUCCUUUUUUCCUGUUGUUUGUGUAAAAGCAUGUCAUCAAUUUCUGUUGCAUCAGAAAUCUGAGAGAUUCCUUUCUUAUUAGGUAGGCAUCAUUCAUUAAUUUUUCCAUGGAAGAGUAAGGAUAUUAAAAUGUAAGAUGAUAAUGAAAAUCUGAUUGGAGAGGCUCUUUAUGGCUGACUUUUAACAUUGUUCAUGUGAUGCAUGAGUUAUGUGUUUAGAGUAAUAUUCUGCAUUAUAGUGAGAGGAAAACUUUGAGUUUUAGUAGUAAAUUGUUUUACCAAUUGUACUUUUAUGUAAUAAAAUGUAGGGAAUUUUAAAAUUCUUUUAUAAGACUGUGAUAACUUAACUUUUAAAUUAAACGAAAUGGUUUUAAACUUUUUAAGACGUGCAUUUAGUAAAGUGUUAUGUCACCAACUUUAACGUAUCCCACUGUAUUAAAGAUGUAGAUAAAAGAUGGUAACAUAGUAGAAUGACCUCUCUAGCAAUCUCUUUUGCCUGUGGCAUUAAACUGAAAAGUUUAACAGUAUUGUUUCAAUGGGUAAAAUGUACAUUUGUUUAACUUUUUAAAUUUUUGUAGGAACAUAAUAUUGUUUACCUAUUUAUGGCAUAUAUAGAAUAUUUUCAUACAGGCAUACAAUUUGUAAUCACAUCAGAGUAAAUGAGGUAUUCAUUACCUAAUGCAUUUUUUUUGUAUUACAGACAAUCCAUUUAAACAUUUUUAGUUAUCUAAAAAUGUACAAGUAAAUUAUUACUUGCUACAGAGGUUUUUUAUCGUCUUGAUAAUAAUUACAUAGUAGUAUAAUAAAUCUCACAUUUCUAAGUCCUGAAUGAAUAUUUUUAAAAAUUUGUCAUAUAUAUUUUGAACAAGUGGACUCUCUGCCUGUAAACUCAUGCAGACUGUUAGUUUUUACUUACAUGAUGCUAAAUAUACAAAUAUAUUACUCUUAAGAUAAACAUUAGGUGUAAGAAAAUUGUGGGGCAAGUAAUUGUGUGUGAGAGUACCUAUUUUCAGAAGACAAGCAAUAUUGGAACAAAAUAUCACUUUAAUAAAGUGGACAAAUCAUUUACUAGAAAACCAGAAACCUCAGUGAUUUUGAAUAAUAUCUGUAUUCUCUGCAUUUUAUUUAAUUAAUUACUGUGAAGUCUUAUGGACUGUGUUUCCGAAUCUUUCCAUGCAAAUUCUUUCUUUCAUUUGCCUGGUACUCAUGGUAGACUGAUUUUUUUUUUCAUAUUUUUUGUGUUUAUAAUUUAUUAAGUAUUCAUUAUGUGAGUUGCUCAGAUAUUCUAAGAAUUUUUAUAAAAUUUAGUAAUGCAUGCAAAAUAAUUUUUCAAUGUUAUUUCACAAUGAGUGUAUUAACUUAUAUUUCUUUUGUUGCUUUCUUUUUUCUUUUUUUUUUUUUUGAGAUGGUGUCUUGCUCUGUCACCCAGGCUAGAGUGCAAUGGUGGGAUCUCAGCUCACUACACCCUCCACCUGCUGGGUUCAAGCAAUUCUCUAGCCUCAGCCUCCUAAGUAGCUGGGACUACAGGCAUGUGCCACCAUGCCCAGCUAAUGUUUUUGUAUUUUUAGUAGAGACUGUGUUUCACUAUACUGGCCAGAGUGGCCUUGAACUCCUGACCUCGUGGUCCACACACCUCAUCCUCCCAAGGUGCUGGGAUUACAGGCGUGAGCCACUGCAUCUGACCAACUUAUAUUUCAUUUAGUUAGAACAUCCCAUUUUGUUAUUUUAAUUGGAGAAACCUGUGUAAGCUAAGUUUCCUUAUUGUUCCUUUUACUCUUUAUAAUUGACAUAGGUGAAUUUAUUCAUUCAGCCAAUUUGUUUAAGUAAAUACUGGGGAGGCUUCAUAAGUCACAAAGAUAUUUUGAUAUGUAAAUGUAGCAAACACAAUGCUUGCUGUAAUAGAGGCACCAUUAUUGGCCAUAAAUAUUUCUGCUGGAGUUAGUUUGUAGCUCCAAGUAAAGAUAAAGAAAUAUGCGUGGUGAAGAAAUAAAAUCGAUUCUGUAUGUGGAGAGGACGUUGUUCUUAUGCUGCAAAACUGACUCUUUCUGAAUUUAAAGAGACAUUCUUCUUAUUUUCUGAUUAUCUUUAGUUUUGUUUUUGUGUCUACUUAUGUUUAUCCCAACUGUGUAUGCAUCACAGCCCUUCUUUUUCUUCUUUGUGUUAUGGCUACAUUUUUAUUGCUGUUUGUUUUGUGCCAUGUCAUUUCACACAGUACUUUGUAGGUUCUGAUGAGAAGUUUGUCAAUGUAACUUUCAGAUCCGUUAAUUGAGAUAAAAGGCAUCCGGUGUUCACAGGUGAGAGGAAUAAAUCAGUCAGAAUUUCUUGUCUUUGUAAAACCAAACUUUUAUUAAAUUUUAACACAGUCUGUGUGUGGUGGCUCACGCCUGUAAUCCCAGCACUUUGGGAGGCUGAGGUGGGAGAAUCACUAAGUCAAGAGAUUGAGACCUUCCUGGCCAAUAUGGUGAAACCCCAUCUCUACUAAAAAUACAAAAAUUAGCUGGGCAUGGUGGCAUGCACCUGUUGACCUAGCCAUUCAGGAGGCUGAGGCAGGAGAAUCGCUUGAACCCAGGAGGCAGAGGUUGCAGUGAGCUGAGAUCGCACCACUGCAUUCCAGCCUGAUGACAGAGCGAGACUUCAUCUCAAAAAAAAACAAAAUUAACACAAUGUGUGGAAAAUAUAAAAUUAGUUAGAAGAUAUGUCUUAGAAAUUAAACUUUUAGAAGAGUUAAUGGUAAGUGGAGAAUGUUAAAUUUUUUAUUACAUACUUACAGCUCAACUUAAGUUUUCAUUCAGAAUCUUUUAUUUUGGUGUGAAUGUUAAAUAUUCAAAAAUAAUAGAAUGACACCUGUGGAUUUCACAUGUGAAGUAAUCUUUUUCAUAUUAACAUUAAAAUCUUGAGGAAUUUCUCACACUUGUAUAAUGUACUUUUUUAUUGGGUGCAGUUUACAAUUUAGAGGUUUCAUUCUUUGUCACCUAACUAGUCAACUCCUUGGUCAUUUUAUCUGGAAAAAUUUUAAGGAUCAUGUCAUCUUUUGAGUUAAAAAAUUUCUUCAGUGAUCUGGGAUGCAAACUUAUUUACUCUCUUCAGAGUGGUUUAAUCAUGUGAACCACAGCAACACCUGCCCUUUUUGUGUCUUCCCUAUCAUUACCACCAGCACCAGAAACUCCAGGUGUCCCAAGCUCAAAGUAAAAGGCCUAAGGUACGUUGGCUUCUCCCAUAUUCUGUGCUGGGUCCCAAAAACAUGGUGGUAAAUAUUAGAGUUCAUAUGGUCAUGACUGACUAGGUGAAAAAACAGCACAAAAACUAUGUAUCUUUCAUACUAUUCAGACAGGUUUAUGACAAAAACACAGAGUCAGAAUUUGAACCUUUGUCAUUUUUAAUAGUUUUUAUAAAUAUAUUUUUAAAUUCACUGAUAAAAUAUGUAUUUAUUUUGUAAAAUAGUAUUUUGAAGUAAAUAUACAUUGUCAAUGCCUAAUUUUAGGUAAUUGUCAAGUGCUUUGCCUCACAUAGUUACUUUUUGGUGCGAAGACAACAUUUACUGUCUUAGCAUUUUUUCAGAAACACAAUACAUGCAUUAUAAUCUCUUGAACUUAUUUUUCUUAUCCAACUGUAAUUAUGUAAUCAAUAUAUGUUUUGUAGAAUCCACAUGUGAGUGAAAUCAUGAGAUAUUAACCUUUCUGUGCCUUAUUUCAACAACUAUAGUGUCCUUUAGGCUUAUCUUUGUGAUUAAAAAUAAGAUUUUUUGUUUAAAAUAUAGUAUUCCAUUGUAUAUAUACACCAUAGUGUGUGUAUUUCCUCAUUGGACGAUGGACACAUACGUUGAUUCUAUAUUUUGGCUUCUGUAAAGUGUGCUGCAACAAACAGAAUUGCAGAUGUCUGUUCAUCAAUCUAGUUUCAUUUGUUUUGUGAUAGAUAUCCAGUAGUUCAAUUACAUGUUAGAUUUUAAUUGUUUUGCAAAAUUUCUAUUUUUCAUAAUGGCUGUUUUUAUUUACAUUGACACAAACAGUGUGAAAGCUUUCCUCUUUCUCUUUUUUCAAGUUUACCAACAAUUUUUUUUAAACAUUCUAACAGGAGUGAGUUUAUAUCUUAGAGUUGUUUUGGUUUGCCUUUCCUUGAUGAUAAUUGACUGAGCCAUAUUCAUCUAUCUGCCAAGCUAUAAGUAUGUCUUUCUUUGAAAAUUAUUUAUAUAGAUCUUUUGCUUAUUUUUAAUGGUUAUUUGUUUUUUGUUUUAUAGUCCUUUGAGUUUCUUAUGUAUUUUUGAUAUUAACUGCUUUUCACAUGUAUAAUUUGCAAAUAUUUUCUUCCAUUUUUCAGUUAUGUCAUUCUGCUGAUUGUAUCUGUUGGUGUGCAGCAGCUUCUUAAUUUUAAGAAAUCUGGUUUGUCUAUUUCCCCCUAAAAUUUUGAGGUUAAACCCAAGAGUCACUGCCCAGACCAAUGUUAUGGGGCAUUCAUUCUAUAUUUCCUCAUCUUAGUUUUAGAUUUUCAGGUCUCACAUUUAAGUAUCUAAUUUGAGUUAAUUUUUAUAUAUGGUGUGAGAUGAAGGUCUGAUUUUAUUAUUUUGCAUGUGGAUAUAUAUUUUCUCAACAUCGUUUAUAAAAGACUUUUUUUUUAAAUUGUCAUCUUUAUUUACAAUCAGUUGUCUGUAAAUACAUGAAUUUAUUUCUGGUCUUUCUCUUUUGCUCUAUUGGCCUAUGUGUCCAUUUUUAUGCAAGUAACACUCUGUUUUGAUUACUGUAGCUUUGUUGGACAUUUAAAAGUCAGAGUGAUUCCUUCAGCCUUUUAUUUUUCAUUUUUUGCUUGAUUUUCUUAGCUAUUCAAGGUCUUUUGUGGGGCAAUAUACAUUUUAGAUUUUUUAAAAACACUUCUAUGGAGAAUUUAACUGGAUUUUAAUAGAAGUUUUAUUAUAUCUGUAUAUCAGUUUGUGUAAUGCAGUUAUUUAACAAUAUUAAUCGUGCCCAUUUAUGAAUUAGAAAUAUCUUUUUGUUUGAAUAUUAUUUAUUUUCUAAAUUCUUUUUUUUUUAGAUUAUAAUGUACCGAUCGUUCACCUUUUUGGUUACAUUCAUUUCUAAGUAUAGUUACUGCUGCAAUUAUUGUAGAUAGGAUUGUUUUUUGGUUUUAUUUUCAGAUACUUUAUUGUUAGUAUAUAGAAAUAUUACGGAAUUUUUUUAUGUUGAUUUUGGAUCCUGCAAGUUUAAUAAAUUUGUAUAUUCUAAUAAUUUUUUGUGAGGUCCUAGGUUUUUCUAUACUUAAGAUUAUAUCAUCUGCAAGGAAACUAUAAUUUAUCUUCUUCAUUUUAUUUAAGAUUGCUUUGAUUUUAUUGAAUAUUUUUUCUGUCUUGGUCAUUUUGUAUUAUGUUCAGUAAGAUCGAAGAAAUUGGGCCAGGCGUGGCGGCUCACACCUGUAAUCCCAGCACUGUGGGAGGCGGAGGUGGGGGGAUCACGAGGUCAGGAGAUCAAGACCAUUCUGGCUAACAAGGUGAAACCCCGUCUCUACUAAAAAUACAAAAAUUAGGCAGGCGUGGUGGCACGCACCUGUAGUCCCAGCUACUCAGGAGGCUGAGGCAGAAGAAUGGUGUGAAACUGGGAGGCAGAGCUUGCAGUGAGCCAAGAUUGCACCACUGCACUCCAGCCUAGGCAACAGAGCAAGACUCCAUCUCAAAAAAAAAAAAAAAAAAAAAGAUUGGAGAAAUUGGACAUCCUUGUCUUGUUCUAGCUCUUAGAGAAAAGGCUUACAGUUUUUCCUUAUUUAGUAUGUUGUUAGGUGUGCAUUGUUGUUAAUGACAUUACCUUGAAUUGCAUUUAUUUUAUAACUAGUUCAAGAGAUUUAUUAUGAGGAGAUAUUGAAUUUUGUUACACUUUCAUUAUGCAUCUAUUUGAAUGUUACAGUUGUGACAGCCAAUCCCACAAAAAUACAAAAGAUGCUUGCAGACUACUAUAAAUAUCUGUGUGCACACCAACUAGAAAAUCUAGAGGAAAUGAAUAAACUCUUAGAAACAUACAACCUCCCAAGAUUGAAUCAGGAAUAAACAGAAGUCUUCAAGAAACCAAAAAUGUGUAAGUAAAUUGAAUUGGUGAUAAAAAAAAUCUACCAAUUAUAAAAAGUACUAAACCAGAUGCAUUCAUAGCAUGAUUUUAUCACAUAUACAAAAAUGAGUUGGCUGUAAUUCUACAGAAAUUAUUCCAAAAAAUCAAAGUGGGACUCCAUCCUAAUUAAUUCUAUCAUAUAAUAUCACUGUCAUCUUGAUAUAUUAACCUAGUAAAGACACAACAAAAAAAAUUACAGGCCAAUGUCCCUGAUGAAUACAGACCCAAAAAUUAUUCAUGAAAUGCUUGCAAACUGAGUCAGGAAAUCAAAGUUAUUUCACUGCAACUAUGUGGACAUUAUUCUGUGAAUGCAGGAAUGUUUUAACGUGCAAUCUAUAAAUGCGAUUCAACAUAUAAAAAUAAUUAAAAAACAAAACCACAUUAUCUCAAUAGAUGUGGAAAUAGCAAUUAAUAAAAUGUAAUAUCUAUUUAUGAAAAAAAUUCUCAAAAAACUAGGCAUUGAAGGAACAUACCUCAAAAUAAUAACAGCCAUAUAAGACAAAUCCUCAGCCAACAUCAUACUGAACAGGUGAAAGAUUAAUGCAUCUUUCCUAAAAAUUGAAAUAAGAAAAGAAUGUGCACUUUCACCACUCCUAUUCAACAUAGUUCUGAAGGUUUUAGCCAGAACAAUCAGGCAAGAUAAAGAAAGAAAAACACUCAAAUAAGAAAAGAGGAAGUCAACUUAUCUGUCUUUACUGAUGAUAUAACUGUCUACCUACUUCAAAGACUCCUCCAAAAGACUCUUAAGCCUAAUAAAAGACUUCUGCAAAAUCUCAGGGCAACAACAACAAAAAGCAAAACAACAUUCAAAAAUGAGGAACAUUUCUAUACACCAGUAACACUUAAACAGAGCAAAAUUAAGAACACAAUCUAGUUUACAAUAGCCAGAAACAAAAAAUAAAAUAGUGAUCCAUUAAACAAAGGAGGUUAAAUAUCUCUACUAGAAGAACUACAAACCACUACUGAAAGAAAUCAGACACAGUGCAAGUAAGUGGAAUAGUAUUUCAUGCUAAUGGAUUAGAAUUAUUAAAAAGUUCAUACUGCCCAAAACAAUCAACAGUUUAUUUCUAUUUCUAUCACUCUACCAAUGCCAUUUUUAAAUAAAAUUAGUCAAAAAACUAUUCUAAAAUUUAUAUGAAAACAAAAAAGCUCAAAUAGCCAAGGCUAUACUAAACAAAAAGAAUAAACCUGGUGACAUUAUGUUACCAAACUUCAAACUUUACCACAAGCUACGGUAACCAAUAUAAUAUGGAUGCAGAUACACACACACACACACACACACACACACACACACACACACACACACACCCUUACGGAACAGAAGAGAGCACUGAAAUGAAGCUGAACUCUUAAAAUUAAUUGAUUUUUGACAGCAUCAACAAAAACAAAUGGAAAGAACUCCCUACCCAAAAAAAGGUGCUGGAAAAACUGGUUAGUCAUAUGCAGAAGAGGAAAUCGCAACACCUACUUCUCAUGAUACAGAAAAUUAAAUCAAGAUACAUUAAAGACUUAUCUGUAAGUGUUCAACCUAUAAAAGUCCUAGAAGAACACCUAGAAAAUUCUCUCCUUGGCGUUGGUCUCUGUAAAGAAUUAAUGACUACAUCCUCAAAAGUGAAAGCAACAAAAAUAAAAAUUAAAAAUUGUGACCUGUACAGCAAGAGAAACUAUUAACAAAAUAAACAGACAACGUACAGUAUGGGCUAAAAUACGUGUAAACUGCAUACAAUAAAUAACUAAUAUAUACAUUUUAUAAGGAAUUUAAGAAAAAAUGUUGACAAAAAUGUGAACAUAUACUUUUAAAAGAAAGACAAAAAAAGCAGCCAACAAACAUAUGAAAAAUUGAUCAACAUUUCUAAUGAUUAGAGAGAUGUAAAUCCAAACCACAAUGUGAUACCAUCUCACCCCAGUCUAAAUGGCUAUUAUUAAAAAGUAAAAAAAAAAAAGUUAAAAUUAUGUAGAAAAGAGAACCCUGAUAUACUCUUAGUGGGAAUGCAAGUUAGUUCACCUCCUGUAGAAUGCAUUUUGGGGAUUUCUCAAAGGACUAAAACUAAAGUUACCAUUUGACCCAGCAGCUUCAGUACUGGGCAUAUACCUCAAUACAAUACAAAUAAAUUAUUCUACCAAAAAUACACCUGCACUCGUAUGUUUAUUGCAGCACUAGUCACAAUAGUAAAGACAUGGAAUGAAACCAUGUGCUCAUAAAUCUUAAGAUGGAUUUUAAAAAUUAGGUAAUUACACACCAUCCAAUACUAUGCAGCCACUGAAGAAGAAUCAUGUAAUACUCUUUGCAGCAACAUGGAUGCAGCUCAAGGUCAUGAUCCUAAGCAAAUUAACACAGAACAGAAAACCAAAUACUACAUUUUCUCACUUAUAAGUGGAAGCUAAACAUUGGGUACACAUGGAAGCAAAGAUGAGAAAAAUAAACACUAAGGAUUCGAAAAUGGAGGGAGAAGGGGUACAAGGGUUAAAAAGUACUUGUCAUGUAUAAUGUACACUACUUGGGCAAUGGGAUUAUUAAUUGCCUAAACCUCAACGUCAUGCAGUAUACCUAUGUUACAAAUCUGCACGUGUAUCCUUGAAUCCAAAAUACAAAUAAUAAAAUACUUUGUGAUAUAAUGCCAUGUUAGAUUUCUCCAGUUUUGGUUAAUGGUUGGAAUUAAGGGUGGAAGACAUAGAAUUUUGUCCCCUUUAGACAUAGGGGUGAAUGUUUCUAUAACAGGUCUCCUGACAUCCUAUAAGCUAUUUUCUCUGAAAGCUCUCGGCCUUAGUUUUGAGUGUGCAGCUAAAAUAAAUGACUGUACAUCAAGCUUGUCCAACUCAUGGCCUACGCUCCAUGUGGCCCAAUAUGGCUUUCAGUGCAGCCCUAAACAAAUCAGAAACUUUCUAAAAGCAUUAUGAGUUUUUUGUGAUUUUUUAAAUCAUCAUUGGUGUAUUUUAUGUAUGGCUCAAGACAACUCUUCUAGUGUGUCCCAGGGAAGCCAAAAGAUUGGACACCCCAGCUCUACAUCUUUAUUUUUCAUCUAUUUACAGUGCACUAGGUGAUAGUGUUUAUUUAUUACUCUACUCCUUUGGGAAAAAAAGAUGGUCA
rnacentral:lncRNA from 1 species